rnacentral:rRNA from 2 species
CAGUGUCUGGUGGGUAGUUUGACUGGGGCGGUCUCCUCCUAAAGAGUAACGGAGGAGCACGAAGGUUGGCUAAUCCUGGUCGGACAUCAGGAGGUUAGUGCAAUGGCAUAAGCCAGCUUGACUGCGAGCGUGACGGCGCGAGCAGGUGCGAAAGCAGGUCAUAGUGAUCCGGUGGUUCUGAAUGGAAGGGCCAUCGCUCAACGGAUAAAAGGUACUCCGGGGAUAACAGGCUGAUACCGCCCAAGAGUUCAUAUCGACGGCGGUGUUUGGCACCUCGAUGUCGGCUCAUCACAUCCUGGGGCUGAAGUAGGUCCCAAGGGUAUGGCUGUUCGCCAUUUAAAGUGGUACGCGAGCUGGGUUUAGAACGUCGUGAGACAGUUCGGUCCCUAUCUGCCGUGGGCGCUGGAGAACUGAGGGGGGCUGCUCCUAGUACGAGAGGACCGGAGUGGACGCAUCACUGGUGUUCGGGUUGUCAUGCCAAUGGCACUGCCCGGUAGCUAAAUGCGGAAGAGAUAAGUGCUGAAAGCAUCUAAGCACGAAACUUGCCCCGAGAUGAGUUCUCCCUGAGACUUAGAGUCUCCUGAAGGAACGUUGAAGACGACGACGUUGAUAGGCCGGGUGUGUAAGCGCAGCGAUGCGUUGAGCUAACCGGUACUAAUGAACCGUGAGGCUUAACCUUACA